rnacentral:rRNA from 1 species
UGGGGAAUUUUGGACAAUGGGCGAAAGCCUGAUCCAGCCAUGCCGCGUGAGUGAUGAAGGCCUUAGGGUUGUAAAGCUCUUUUGCCGGGGACGAUAAUGACGGUACCCGCAGAAUAAGCCCCGGCUAACUUCGUGCCAGCAGCCGCGGUAAUACGAAGGGGGCUAGCGUUGUUCGGAAUUACUGGGCGUAAAGCGCACGUAGGCGGACUUUCAAGUCAGGGGUGAAAUCCCGGGGCUCAACCUCGGAACGGUCAGAUGAUACUGCUUUGCUAGAGUGCAGAAGGGGCAAUCGGAAUUCUUGGUGUAGCGGUGAAAUGCGUAGAUAUCAAGAGGAACACCUGAGGUGAAGACGGGUUGCUGGGCUGACACUGACGCUGAGGCGCGAAAGCCAGGGGAGCAAACGGGAUUAGAUACCCUUAGUCCCUGAGCGGGCUGGCAAGGCGCAU